ACUCCUACGGGAGGCAGCAGUAGGGAAUCUUAGACAAUGGGGGAAACCCUGAUCUAGCCAUGCCGCGUGUGUGAUGAAGGCCUUAGGGUCGUAAAGCACUUUCGCCAGAGAUGAUAAUGACAGUAUCUGGUAAAGAAACCCCGGCUAACUCCGUGCCAGCAGCCGCGGUAAUACGGAGGGGGUUAGCGUUGUUCGGAAUUACUGGGCGUAAAGCGCACGUAGGCGGAUUAGUAAGUUAGAGGUGAAAUCCCAGGGCUCAACCCUGGAACUGCCUUUAAUACUGCUAGUCUUGAGUUCGAGAGAGGUAAGUGGAAUUCCAAGUGUAGAGGUGAAAUUCGUAGAUAUUUGGAGGAACACCAGUGGCGAAGGCGGCUUACUGGCUCGAUACUGACGCUGAGGUGCGAAAGUGUGGGGAGCAAACAGGAUUAGAAACCCGUGUAGUCC
rnacentral:rRNA from 1 species